UUUGAAUUUCGGUCCAUUUUCGUCACUGAAACCCGUCUUUAUUUUGACCUUCUUUGAUCAGAUCUGAAUGAAAAACAGGCCAUCAAUUUUGUCUUAACAGUCUGGGAGAGUCCAAUAAAAACUUCUACCACCAUACCAGGUACAUAAAAUACUGAACAUCUGUUACUGGUACGGCAAGUCAAAGACCAACGAAGGCACAUCUUCAAAAAACCAAGUUGUUUAUGUACUGCAAUUUUGUAA